GACGAACGCUGGCGGCGUGCUUAACACAUGCAAGUCGAGCGGUAAGGCCCUUUCGGGGGUACACGAGCGGCGAACGGGUGAGUAACACGUGGGUGACCUGCCCUCAGCUCUGGGAUAAGCCUGGGAAACCGGGUCUAAUACUGGAUAUGACUCCAUGACGCAUGUUGUGGGGUGGAAAGCCUUGUGCGGCUGAGGAUGGGCCCGCGGCCUAUCAGCUUGUUGGUGGGGUGAUGGCCUACCAAGGCGACGACGGGUAGCCGGCCCGAGAGGGCGACCGGCCACACUGGGACUGAGACACGGCCCAGACUCCUACGGGAGGCAGCAGUGGGGAAUCUUGCGCAAUGGGCGAAAGCCUGACGCAGCGACGCCGCGUGAGGGAUGACGGCC
rnacentral:rRNA from 1 species